GGGCUCUUACAUGAUUCUUGUCUG
rnacentral:siRNA from 1 species